CUUUCGGCAGGGACGAAGCGAAAGUGACGGUACCUGCAGAAGAAGCGCCGGCUAACUACGUGCCAGCAGCCGCGGUAACACGUAGGGCGCAAGCGUUGUCCGGAAUCAUUGGGCGUAAAGAGCUCGUAGGCGGUCUGUUGCGUCCGCUGUGAAAACUCGGGGCUUAACCCCGAGCUUGCAGUGGAUACGGGCAGACUAGAGGUAGGUAGGGGAGAAUGGAAUUCCCGGUGUAGCGGUGAAAUGCGCAGAUAUCGGGAGGAACACCGGUGGCGAAGGCGGUUCUCUGGGCCUUACCUGACGCUGAGGAGCGAAAGCGUGGGGAGCGAACAGGAUUAGAUACCCUGGUAGUCCACGCCGUAAACGUUGGGCGCUAGGUGUGGGGUCCUUCCACGGACUCCGUGCCGCAGCUAACGCAUUAAGCGCCCCGCCUGGGGAGUACGGCCGCAAGGCUA
rnacentral:rRNA from 1 species